rnacentral:rRNA from 1 species
UAGAGUUUUGGACCAGGCUCAGGACGAACGCUGGCGGCGUGCUUAACACAUGCAAGUCGAACGAUGAACCGGUUUCGGCCGGGGAUUAGUGGCGAACGGGUGAGUAACACGUGGGCAAUCUGCCCUGCACUCUGGGAUAAGCCCGGGAAACUGGGUCUAAUACCGGAUACGACACUCCGAGGCAUCUUGGGGUGUGGAAAGUUCCGGCGGUGCAGGAUGAGCCCGCGGCCUAUCAGCUUGUUGGUGGGGUAAUGGCCUACCAAGGCGACGACGGGUAGCCGGCCUGAGAGGGUGACCGGCCACACUGGGACUGAGACACGGCCCAGACUCCUACGGGAGGCAGCAGUGGGGAAUAUUGCACAAUGGGCGAAAGCCUGAUGCAGCGACGCCGCGUGAGGGAUGACGGCCUUCGGGUUGUAAACCUCUUUCAGCAGGGAAGAAGCGAAAGUGACGGUACCUGCAGAAGAAGCACCGGCUAACUACGUGCCAGCAGCCGCGGUAAUACGUAGGGUGCGAGCGUUGUCCGGAAUUAUUGGGCGUAAAGAGCUCGUAGGCGGUUUGUCGCGUCGAUUGUGAAAGCCCGGGGCUUAACCCUGGGUCUGCAGUCGAUACGGGCAGGCUAGAGUUCGGCAGGGGAGACUGGAAUUCCUGGUGUAGCGGUGAAAUGCGCAGAUAUCAGGAGGAACACCGGUGGCGAAGGCGGGUCUCUGGGCCGAUACUGACGCUGAGAGCGAAAAGACGGGG